rnacentral:rRNA from 1 species
GACGUAGGGCGCGAGCGUUGUCCGGAUUUAUUGGGCGUAAAGAGCUCGUAGGCGGCUUGUCGCGUCGUCCGUGAAAACCUGCAGCUCAACUGCAGGCUUGCGGUCGAUACGGGCAGGCUAGAGUUCGGUAGGGGAGACUGGAAUUCCUGGUGUAGCGGUGAAAUGCGCAGAUAUCAGGAGGAACACCCGUGGCGAAAGCGGCUCUCUGGGACGGUACUGACACUGAGGAGCGAAAGCGUGGGGAGCGAACAGG